rnacentral:tRNA from 1 species
CGGGGUGUAGCGCAGUCCGGCUAGCGCACCUGCUUCGGGAGCAGGGGGUCGGCGGUUCGAAUCCGCCCACCCCGACCA